AGAAGAGAGUAGAUGUGCGAUCACAAAAAUCACAUUAAAUUAAAAUCUGUAACUUUUAGAUUUUUGCCAAAUGAAUAAAUGAGUGCUAAUUUUAUGAUUAUUUAUAGUUGUGCUUAUUUUCUUUAUCAAACCACCCUUAAUUUCAAGCAACAGGA